rnacentral:rRNA from 1 species
CCUACGGGGGGCUGCAGUAGGGAAUCUUCGGCAAUGGGCGAAAGCCUGACCGAGCAACGCCGCGUGAGCGAGGAAGGCCUUCGGGUCGUAAAGCUCUGUUGCCAGAGAAGAAGGACCGUAAGUUAACUGCUUACGGGGUGACGGUAUCUGAGAAGAAAGCCCCGGCUAACUACGUGCCAGCAGCCGCGGUAAUACGUAGGGGGCGAGCGUUGUCCGGAAUUAUUGGGCGUAAAGAGCGCGCAGGCGGUCUGUUAAGUCUGAUGUGAAAGGCUUAGGCUCAACCUGGGCAUGGCAUUGGAAACUGGCAGACUUGAGUGCAGGAGAGGGGAGUGGAAUUCCAUGUGUAGCGGUGAAAUGCGUAGAGAUAUGGAGGAACACCAGUGGCGAAGGCGGCUCUCUGGCCUGCAACUGACGCUGAGGCGCGAAAGCGUGGGGAGCAAACAGGAUUAGAUACCCGAGUAGUC